rnacentral:rRNA from 1 species
UACGUAGGUGGCAAGCGUUGUCCGGAAUUAUUGGGCGUAAAGCGCGCGCAGGCGGUCCCUUAAGUCUGAUGUGAAAGCCCACGGCUCAACCGUGGAGGGUCAUUGGAAACUGGGGGACUUGAGUACAGAAGAGGAAAGCGGAAUUCCACGUGUAGCGGUGAAAUGCGUAGAGAUGUGGAGGAGCACCAGUGGCGAAGGCGGCUUUCUGGUCUGUAACUGACGCUGAGGCGCGAAAGCGUGGGGAGCAAACAGG